AAUACUGAUGGACAUGACAUCACACUGAACAUACAAUAACUACUUAUGAACAUGACAUCACACUGAACAUACAAUAACUACUAAUGAACAUGACGUCACACUGAAUAUACAAUAAUUACUGAUGAACAUGACGUCACACUGAACAUACAAUAAUUACUGAUGAACAUGACGUCACACUGAAUAUACAAUAAUUACUGAUGAACAUGACAUCACACUGAAUAUACAAAACUACAAACUGGAAUGCAAAGCCAUAAUACAAUAUUUUCUUAUCUUAAAUGUUUAAAAACCGAUUGAUUAUUAUACUCUUUAUAAUGUAAGAUGCGUUUUGAUGAAAAUAUAAACUUCAUUCACCUUCAGCUCUUUUACGAGCGGCAGCAAACAACUUUUCUAUAGCAGCAGAAAAGUUUGCCGAUUCGCUUAAGACUGCAAACCUUGCGGAUCCGUUCGUGGUACGGCGUAUUAACGACCAGUUGAUGCAGCUAGAUCGAGCGUUUCUGGACCCCGCCGGACUCCCUGGUAGAAGACUCAAACGCCACAUCCUGUUAGCAGAGAGUAGUAUCGACACUUAUUCCGGAAGUAGUUUCCCCGGUCUGUCCGACGCGCUCACGGAGAUUUCCUUGGGCCGGAACGUAACGGAACAGUGGGAGAUCGUACGUCAACAUUUCUCCGUCAUCCUGUUUACUAUCCAAUCAGCUGCGUCAACGCUUCGAGACGUCACUGACUUUAUGGUCGAGUACUAUUGAAUCUGCGUAGGCCGACAAUCAACAUUAAUGUUUACAGUUGUAUUUAGGCUUUUGCUUGUUCUGAUGUUUACAGGAAACACGUUUUAUUUCUUAUUCACAUGUGGAAGUA